rnacentral:lncRNA from 1 species
ACUCUCUCAGCCGAAGGCUCUCUCACCAAGAGCUGAAGGCACUGGGAGCCAAUACAGUAUACUGAUUAGGCGGCCAGUUUUUACACCAUUUGACCACUCUAUGAGUUGUUUGCUUAGUGCUGAUAGGCAACCACGCAAAUAGGCUGGGUGCCCCAUAUAACGACUUCUGUCGUAGCUGUAGAGACGAAGAUGAGGAGGAGACAGAAGAAAAUCUGUUCUGAUCCUGUCCGGCUCUCAGUAGAAGGAUGUUAAGAUGUCUGGGAUCACCAUUUCUAAACGACAUUUCAGAAAUGGCUACUAUAGGCCCCAGGAAGAUAUCAAACUUUGUGAGAGGAAACCCAACAACAAAACACUUGAACAUUGUACCAGAGUAGAGCGGGAUAAUUCAAACAUAAAAUCAAAUUAAAAUGGAACAAGGAUCAGGAAAUAGCGGUGGUAAGUAAUAUACAUGUUAUAUUUUAAUUGUUGUUACAAACUAACAUUAGUAUUUCUCAAUUUCGCAGAGAAGAAGAGAACAGCAGGAGCAGGGUGAAAUUGUCAUCGGAGAUGAAGGGCCUGCUGAUAGACCUGUGGCAGGAGAAUAUUGAAGAUCUAUGUGGAGCCCGAAAUUAAUUCCUACGUCUACAUGGAGAUUGCACAGGCCAUGAAGGAAGCUGGGCCCGAGAUUGGAUGGAGAGGUUCGAUGGAAAGUCGAAAACAGAUAUCCCUUCUAUUAUCUCCUCCUCGUCAAUUUUGUCCUCUUCGUCAUCAUGACAAGCAACAUUAUUAGCUUAUGCAAGAAAAUAUUCUGCUGCUGAAUAACACUCAUAACCAUUGCUAUAUUAUUAUUAUUCAUUUUAACUUUAGGAAUUCAACAAAUUUUCCCCUGCCCGAAAUUGUGAGCAUCAGUGGUUUUAUCAAGAAUGGUGGAUGGUGCCAAUUUGAACUAAAGUUUCACAUCUUUUAAAAAAUCUCAACGUUCCCCUUGGAUGGGCUCAGUGUGCAGAGCCUGUUACCUUCCGUUUCUAGGUGCUCUGCCAUUGGCAAAAUUUGAAUUGAUACGCUCAAUUUUCUCAUCGUUUCUGACAGACAAAAACAGCUGACCCGGCUACUUCAUAAAAACAUCGCGUGAAUAAAAAGUAGGUAAUACAACAUGAACAUUUUAAAUUCAAUUGUUAAUAGUUUUUUUUGGUAAAGCCUAGUACUCAGGUCGUAAAAUAGGG